CUGCUGGGUAUCCUCACUCACGUGUAUGCAGUUCCCACUGCCACACCUACUUUUCCUUGCAAUAAGGGCCCAAGCAAUACCAGGCUCUGGUUGCUGUGCUUGGGCCAGUCAAUAAAAGAUGCGGUCUAGUCUGCUGAGUUUCUCAGCAUUUUACAUCAGAUGCUCUGGAUUUCCGCCUCUCAAAGUCCAAUCCUGCAUCGUCAUCGUGAGAUGUGGAAAUGAGUAAGGCAGGCCAACAGGGCUCUAGUGAAGAUGUAGAAGCCAGUCCCCCGCACAGUGGAUGCAAUGGAUUUCAGAAGCAUUGAUGAACUCCAACAUUGGACGAUGGAGUUGGGAGGUCAUCAAUGUCCUGUGUUCCACUGGGAGCUAAGGGCCCAGACAGAAGAGGCACUGAAGAUGCUGAAAGUCUCGAGCGAUACACACAAUGAGAUAGAGGAGCUCAGCAGGGCAGGCAGCAUUCAUGGAUGGAAGUAAACAGUCGACGUUUCGGG